AACGAACGCUGGCGGCAUGCCUAACACAUGCAAGUCGAACGAGACCUUCGGGUCUAGUGGCGCACGGGUGCGUAACGCGUGGGAAUCUGCCCUUGGGUUCGGAAUAACUUCGGGAAACUGAAGCUAAUACCGGAUGAUGACGUAAGUCCAAAGAUUUAUCGCCCAAGGAUGAGCCCGCGUAGGAUUAGCUAGUUGGUGAGGUAAAGGCUCACCAAGGCGACGAUCCUUAGCUGGUCUGAGAGGAUGAUCAGCCACACUGGGACUGAGACACGGCCCAGACUCCUACGGGAGGCAGCAGUGGGGAAUAUUGGACAAUGGGCGAAAGCCUGAUCCAGCAAUGCCGCGUGAGUGAUGAAGGCCUUAGGGUUGUAAAGCUCUUUACCCGGGAUGAUAAUGACAGUACCGGAGAAUAAGCUCCGGCUAACUCCGUGCCAGCAGCCGCGGUAAUGUGACUACUG
rnacentral:rRNA from 1 species